rnacentral:tRNA from 1 species
GGUGGUGUGGCUCAGUGGAAGAGUGCUUGCUUAAUACAUAUGAGGCCUGGGUUCCAUCCCCAGCACCACAG